CAGAUUAUGCUCUGAGGAAAAUAUUUUUAUAUGCACUAUUUUUUUCUUGCAGGCACUUUAAUAUGAGGUUUUAAAAAACCUUACUUAAGACAAAUAAAAAAGAAAACCUUCAUGUAAUUACUUUACCUGCAGGCUAAUUUUUAAAUACUUCAACACCGUAACAAUUAAAUGGGCUAUGUUAGCUUCAGUUGACAACAUUUAUUUAUUUAUUUAUUUGCAAUGAGACCUCAUAAUAUCCACCAGGCUGGUCUCGAACUCCUGGGCUCAAGAGAUCCUCUUGUCUUAGCCUCCCAAAUAGCUGGGCCUACAGGUGCCAGCCAUUCUGCCUAGCUAGUUGAUCACUUUUAGGGAAGGCAACACCCACAAGAUUUGUUGGACCUGAACUUCUUAUGGUGUGUCUGAUUUUAAAUGAAAUGAAUUUUGCUAAAGUCUCACAAAUGGUUAACUCUUCUGCCUUUAUUACAUGUUUUAAAUAGUUGAUUUAUCUCUUAGUUUCUUGCAGCAUAAUUGGUAUAUUGCUUCUCUUGCUAACAUGUCAUUUUACUGUAGGUGGUUAACUGAAUGUAUUCUCUCUGUAAAUUUCAACAAGUUGCUCAUAAAAUUUUCCCAGCAGA
rnacentral:lncRNA from 10 species